rnacentral:rRNA from 1 species
ACGUAGGUGGCGAGCGUUGUCCGGAUUUACUGGGCGUAAAGGGCUUGUAGGCGGUCCGUUAAGUCCGAUGUGAAAUCUCCCGGCUCAACUGGGAGAGGUCAUUGGAUACUGGCGGACUAGAGGGGGGUAGAGGAAAGCAGAAUUCCUGGUGUAGCGGUGAAAUGCGUAGAUAUCAAGAGGAACACCUGAGGUGAAGACGGGUUGCUGGUCUAACACUGACGCUGAGGCGCGAAAGCCAGGGGAGCAAACGGGA